AAGGCCGGAAAGGAUACGCACACACCCCAAAAAGUGCAACCCUAACAAGUUCUGCCUCUAUCAUCGUGACCACGGCCACGACACGGAGGAGUGUAUUCAGCUCUGAGAUGAGAUCGAGGAGCUCAUCAGAUGGGGUCGGCUCAACAGAUUCAUCCUACGUCGGUCUGAAGGUAGGGAAGAUCGGCCGAGGGCCCUAGCACAAUCAGAGCUGCCAAGAAGGGAAGAACAGCCUGA
rnacentral:lncRNA from 1 species